GACGAACGCUGGCGGCGUGCUUAACACAUGCAAGUCGAACGAAGUGGCGGACGGGUGAGUAACGCGUAAACAACCUGCCCUUCAGAGGGGGACAACAGUUGGACACGACUGCUAAUAUCGCAUAAUACGGGAGGGCCAUGCGUGGGAUUAGCUAGUUGGGGGGGUAACGGCCCACCAAGGCGAUGAUCAGUAGCCGGUCUGAGAGGAUGAACGGCCACAUUGGGACUGAGACACGGCCCAGACUCCUACGGGAGGCAGCAGUGGGGAAUCUUCCGCAAUGGACGAAAGUCUGACGGAGCAACGCCGCGUGAGUGAUGACGGCCUUCGGGUUGUAAAGCUCUGUUAAUCGGGACGCGGUACCGGAAUAGAAAGCCACGGCUAACUACGUGCCAGCAGCCGCGGUAAUAC
rnacentral:rRNA from 1 species